UGACACUCUGCGCCCUGGUCAAAACCAACCCAGCAGACGUAAUCACGAACGGACCCCCUACGGGAAUCGUUCUCUGCGACAACCCAGGACUCCUCAUAACUAACUGCAGAGUACACACGCAGAGGGUGUACUGUCCUGGCAGAGUUGUGCAGACUCAGGACAACUGAGCUUUGAAGGAAUACGCAGAUUUAAAGAGGAGUCCAGGACCUGAGCCCUAGGACCAUGCCUCAGGACUACCUGACAUGAUGACUCCUUGCUGUCCCCACUCCACCUGGCCGUGCUGCUACUCCAGUUUCAACUGUUCUGCCU
ensembl:lncRNA